UGACAGAGAAGAGCUGAAAAAUCACACUCCAGCCUACUCAACAACUGGAACAAUAAGGCCGUGAUUGAAGAAAUGAAAAUCUACCCGCCAAUUCACCUCCUACUUGGAGAACUAUCACUGAGUUGGAAACCGUGUAUUUUCUGCCAUCUGGAGCAGCACCAGAUGUCCUGCUUUCCACCUCGGCGUUCGAAAAGAGCUUCGCCUGGGAAGUCUCCAAUUUCUGUUUGUGAAAGAACGGAUAUCUGAGGAAAAGAGAGGCCCGAUGAUGGAACUGCCUUCGCAAAUAACACCAAACUGGGGAACAAUAUGGAAGAGACUCUCGGAAUUCAAAUUAACCUUGAGAAAUGGGAGAAAAGUCCUCCAACUCCAGACUUCCAGAGACGAGGAGAACAGAAGGCUCAGCUCCAACUUGGGUUCCUUUCAAUCGUUCGACCGGAUUUCUUUUUCAUUCGUUUGUUUGUUAAAUGAAAUUUGCAGAGCGC